GGUGACGUCAGCACAGCGAAUGGCUGCUUAAGAACACAGCUCCUCCAAAAAUCAAUAUAUUUCGCCCCAAAAAUACUCAAAUAAUAUUAUUUUGUACUUAUACACGGUCAAAAUGUCGGGGCCGAAAUCAAGAACAAGGGAAACAACAGGAAAAAAAGGUACUGAACAGCAAACCGAGUUAGUUGGCCGAGUAAAUUCUAGCUCACCUCAUGGAGAUGCUAGCUCAAAUCAAGGCACAGCAGCUAGCCUGGCUAAAGUAUUAGAGGAGAUUCGGGAUUUUCGUCAAGAUAUGAAUAAACAACUGAACGACAUCAAAUCUGAACUCACUAAAGUUGACCAAAAAGUUGAGGAAGUGGAGAAUCGCGUUGGUGAGGUAGAAGACCGCACCCAGAAUAUGGAACAAGUUGUAACAAAACUGAUAAAAGAAGUGACCCAGCUCGAGAAUAAACUGCUAGACCUAGAAGGUAGAUCCAGACGGAAAAAUAUCAGAAUGUUCAAUGUACCAGAAGACGCAGAGGGGACAUCAAUGGUGGAGUUUGUGGAAAAGCUCCUGCGUGAUAAACUGGAAAUACCCGAAGCAACGGCAAUUGAUAUCGAGAGAGCACACAGGGCACUUGUUUCUAAACCCACUGGGGAAGACAAGCCAUGGUCAAUAGUGAUUCGAUUCCUGAGAUACAAGACUAAAGAAGAAAUCCUACGGAAAGCAUGGGGGAAGAAAAAAGUGCUUAUGAACAAUAAGAGGCAGAUAUUUUUUGACCAGGAUUAUCCCCCAGCAGUUCUACAGAAGCGUAAGGAAUACUCCGAGGCAAAAAGAGUUUUGAAACACAACGGUAUUCGCUUCCAGACUCCAUUCCCAGCCAAACUGCGAGUGCACUACCAGAAUGGGACACAGCUCUACCAAUCAGCAGAGGAAGCGAUGACAGAUAUGAAGAACAGAGGACUUCCCAUCAACGUGUUCAGGGGUGAACCGAAGGAGGAUUUAGCCGCGCAGCUGUCUCGCACUGCAUGGGAGAGAGUGUAAGCCCGAGGACAGUGACGGGUGGACACAUAACAAGAGCCGGAGGACCCGUGAAUGAACGGAAGAUGUUGUGAAAUGGUGGUAACUGUACCAAUUCCAAAAAAAAUAAAUCACUAUCUAAACACAAGUAUAUUCCCUUCCCUGACAAAUGUAAAAAUAUAAAGUAUAAUGGAGGGAUCACACCUUAAGUUAGCCUUUGCACUGAUGGACAAA
rnacentral:lncRNA from 1 species